rnacentral:rRNA from 1 species
GUGGGGAAUCUUCCGCAAUGGACGAAAGUCUGACGGAGCAACGCCGCGUGAACGAUGACGGCCUUCGGGUUGUAAAGUUCUGUUAUACGGGACGAAUGGUACGACGGUCAAUACCCGUCGUAAGUGACGGUACCGUAAGAGAAAGCCACGGCUAACUACGUGCCAGCAGCCGCGGUAAUACGUAGGUGGCAAGCGUUGUCCGGAAUUAUUGGGCGUAAAGGGCGCGCAGGCGGCGUCGUAAGUCGGUCUUAAAAGUGCGGGGCUUAACCCCGUGAGGGGACCGAAACUGCGAUGCUAGAGUAUCGGAGAGGAAAGCGGAAUUCCUAGUGUAGCGGUGAAAUGCGUAGAUAUUAGGAGGAACACCAGUGGCGAAAGCGGCUUUCUGGACGACAACUGACGCUGAGGCGCGAAAGCCAGGGGAGCAAACGGGAUUAGAUACCCGAGUAGUCC